rnacentral:rRNA from 1 species
GUAAAGCAUCGGAACGUACCGUGUAGUGGGGGAGUAACGUAGCGAAGUUACGCUAAUACCGCAUACGCACUGAGGUGGAAAGGACAGGGGAGUCGCAAGACCUUGCGCUAUACGAGGCGGCCGAUGUCAGAUUAGCUAGUUGGUAGGGUAAAGGCCUACCAAGGCGACGAUCUGUAGCGGGUCUGAGAGGAUGAUCCGCCACACUGGGACUGAGACACGGCCCAGACUCCUACGGGAGGCAGCAGUGGGGAAUUUUGGACAAUGGGGGAAACCCUGGUCCAGCCAUGCCGCGUGAGUGAAGAAGGCCUUCGGGUUGUAAAGCUCUUUCAGCCGGGAAGAAAAUGCAUGGGUUAAUACCCUGUGCAGAUGACGGUACCGGAAUAAGAAGCACCGGCUAACUACGUG